rnacentral:tRNA from 1 species
GCGCCAGUAGCUCAACUGGAUAGAGCAACAGCCUUCUAAGCUGUCGUAUGUGGGUUCGAGUCCCGCCUGGCGCACCA